rnacentral:tRNA from 1 species
GGGCCGUUAGCUCAGUCGGUAGAGCACCGCACUUUUAAUGCGAUGGUCGUUGGUUCGAAUCCAACACGGCCCA